rnacentral:tRNA from 34 species
GCUCGGAUGGUGGAAUUGGUAGACACGCUACUUUGAGGUGGUAGUGCCGCAAGGUGUGGGGGUUCGAGUCCCCCUUCGAGCA